CCCUUAGAUGUCCUGGGCCGCACGCGCGUUACACUGAUGCAUUCAACGAGCUUAUAACCUUGGCCGAGAGGCCUGGGCAAUCUUGUUAACGUGCAUCGUGAUAGGGAUAGAUUAUUGAAAUUAUUAAUCUUGAACGAGGAAUUCCUAGUAAACGCAGAUCAUCAAUCUGCAUUGAUUACGUCCCUGCCCUUUGUACACACCGCCCGUCGCACCUACCGAUUGAAUGGUCCGGUGAAAUCUCGGGACGGCGGCUUGGUCGCUUGCGUCCGACUGCUGAAACUUGAUUAAACCACAUCAUUUAGAGGAAGGUGAAGUCGUAACA
rnacentral:rRNA from 1 species